ACACAUGCAAGUCGAGGGGCAGCAUCAUCAAAGCUUGCUUUGAUGGAUGGCGACCGGCGCACGGGUGAGUAACACGUAUCCAACCUGCCGACAACACUGGGAUAGCCUUUCGAAAGAAAGAUUAAUACCGGAUGGUAUAGUUUUCCCGCAUGGGAUGAUUAUUAAAGAAUUUCGGUUGUCGAUGGGGAUGCGUUCCAUUAGGCAGUUGGCGGGGUAACGGCCCACCAAACCUACGAUGGAUAGGGGUUCUGAGAGGAAGGUCCCCCACAUUGGAACUGAGACACGGUCCAAACUCCUACGGGAGGCAGCAGUGAGGAAUAUUGGUCAAUGGACGAGAGUCUGAACCAGCCAAGUAGCGUGAAGGAUGACUGCCCUAUGGGUUGUAAACUUCUUUUAUACGGGAAUAAAGUGAGCCACGUGUGGCUUUUUGUAUGUACCGUAUGAAUAAGGAUCGGCUAACUCCGUGCCAGCAGCCGCGGUAAUACGGAGGAUCCGAGCGUUAUCCGGAUUUAUUGGGUCUAAAGGGAGCGUAGGCGGGUUGUUAAGUCAGUUGUGAAAGUUUGCGGCUCAACCGUAAAAUUGCAGUUGAUACUGGCGACCUUGAGUGCAACAGAGGUAGGCGGAAUUCGUGGUGUAGCGGUGAAAUGCUUAGAUAUCACGAAGAACUCCGAUUGCGAAGGCAGCUUACUGGAUUGUAACUGACGCUGAUGCUCGAAAGUGUGGGUAUCAAACAGGAUUAGAUACCCUGGUAGUCCACACAGUAAACGAUGAAUACUCGCUGUUGGCGAUAUACAGUCAGCGGCCAAGCGAAAGCAUUAAGUAUUCCACCUGGGGAGUACGCCGGCAACGGUGAAACUCAAAGGAAUUGACGGGGG
rnacentral:rRNA from 1 species